rnacentral:lncRNA from 1 species
AUAAUAUGAGAAUUUAUUAAAAGAAUUGAGGUUCUAGGUAAGGUCUGAGUUAGAUGUAGAAGAGUUCGACCUUACAAUCAAAAGGUUUGGUGAUUAUGUCAAAAGAAAUGUGAUUCCACACAACUGGUACCACCACUAAUCUAAUAACAUAUGCAGUCAAUUGCUCUCUCGUGAAUUUCUUGUGAUAGCUUCCUCAAUAUUGUUCUCAUGAUCUUCUUACGACGUCAAUGGCCUUGGCUUGGUGCUCUUGGUCAGCUGCGGAAAAUCGUUGAUCACAAUUCUUGGGCAUGUGUUGGUUGUCCCUAUAUUCCAUUCAUUAGAAAGGUGCCGCACGAGCCUCGUUGAUGAUUCGAUAUCUAAUACUCUUCC